rnacentral:tRNA from 2 species
GCCCGGAUGGCGGAAUUGGUAGACGCACUAGUUUCAGGUACUAGCGGUCGCAAGACCAUGGAAGUUCGAGUCUUCUUUCGGGCACCA